GUAAGUUGAAAUUUUUCUUAGGGAUGAAAAUUGCAAGAUCUACUCAAGGUAUCCUCCUUUAUCAAAGGAAGUAUGCUCUUGAUAUUCUGCAAGAGACAUGAAUGCUUGCUGCAAAACCCUCCUCUACUCCUAUGGAAUACUCUGCCAAAUUUAUUCAUUCUAAAUGCGAUGACUUCUUACCUAAUCCUAACAUUUAUAGAAGAUUAAUUGGAAAGCUUGUUUACUUAACUCACACUAGACCUGAUUUAAGUUUUGCAGUUAGUCACUUGAGUCAGUUUCUCUGUGGAAAUGACAUGAUUGAAAUAAGCCAUAUGAAACAGUUAUUAGACUCUGAAUUCAGCAUCAAGGAUUUUGGUAAGUUGAAAUUUUUCUUAGGGAUGAAAAUUGCAAGAUCUACUCAAGGUAUCCUCCUUUAUCAAAGGAAGUAUGCUCUUGAUAUUCUGCAAGAGACAUGAAUGCUUGCUGCAAAACCCUCCUCGAUUCCCAUGGAAUACUCUGCCAAACUUAUUCACUCUAAAUGCGGUGACCUCUUACCUAAUCCUAACAUCUAUAGAAGAUUAAUUGGAAAGCUUGUUUACUUAACUCACACUAGACCUGAUUUAAGUUUUGCAGUUAGUCACUUGAGCCAGUUUCUCUCUAAUCCUACUGAUAAACACUUGGAGGCUGCAUUGAGGAUUGUAAGAUACAUCAAAGGCACCAUCAGUAUAGGAGUCUUCGUCCCAUGUAAUUGUGAUUUCAAAUUAAAGGGCUACACUAAUUCAGAUUGGGCAGCAUGUAUAGAUACUAGAACAUCAGUAUCUGGCUAUUGCUUCUAUCUUGGAAACUCACUCAUAUCCUAGAAAAGCAAAAAGCAGAAAAUGGUAUCAAAAUCUUUAGCUGAAGACGAGUAUAGGGUCGUAGCUCUUGCUGCCUGUGAAGCACAAUGGUUGGUGCAUCUUCUUCAAGAUCUUGCAAUGCAUCAUCCUGAACCCAUCAUGCUAUAUUGUGACAAUCAAUCUGCAUUAUACAUAGCUGCUAAUCCCGUCUUCCAUGAGAGAACAAAGUACAUAGAGAUAGAUUGUCACCCAGUUCGUGAAAGGAUUCAAUCAGGUCUCAUACACUUGCUUCCAGUCCACGUCACUUCUCAAGUUGCAGACAUAUUCACCAAGUCUUUAUCUCCCCAACUAUUCAGAAAUAUUCACUCCAAGCUUGGCAUUUUUUACAUCCAUAUGCCAGCUUGUGGGGGACUAUUAGAAAGCAAUGUUCAUGAAAUUCCUAAUGCUACUCAAGACACCAAAGGCACCA
rnacentral:lncRNA from 1 species